rnacentral:rRNA from 1 species
UGAGUAACGCGUGAGUAACCUGCCCUGGAGUGGGGGGACGAACAGUUGGAAACGAACUGCUAAUACCGCAUAAGCCCACGGAUCCGCAUGGAUCUGCGGGAAAAGGAUUUAUUCGCUUCAGGAUGGACUCGCGUCCAAUUAGCUAGUUGGUGAGGUAACGGCCCACCAAGGCGACGAUUGGUAGCCGGACUGAGAGGUUGAACGGCCACAUUGGGACUGAGACACGGCCCAGACUCCUACGGGAGGCAGCAUG